ensembl:lncRNA
UGUUCUCUCUUUCUUCUGAGAUCAUAGGAGUAUUGAAAAUGAACUCUUUCAUCAGACAUUUUAGGAUGAUGAUCAUGAGAAGUGAGGUUGAAUCGGAGCUUCAGCCAUUAGAACACAAAGACAAGGGAAUAUUGUGUUCUGUUCUGGUGAAACCUGUUUGUUUACAUGGCAGUCCAAAGGUCAACCAUCUGUAACCUGUAUAAUCUGCAAAGCAGGAAUUUUUUGACUGCACCGACUGGAGUGUUUUUGAAGCUGCAACUCUCAACCUGGACAAACUGACUGAGGAGUCCUUUGCCACCGUAUCCUUUCGCCGCUGUCCUCUGAAUGGUAACAUAAUUAUUUGGCUCUUAUAGGCAUACAGAAUUAACAUAGUAAACAAAUGGCAUAAAAGAUUACCCUUAGGUGUUCGUCUGGGCAAGAUUCUUUUGGCAGAUCUUUGGUAGGAUGGGUGUUUAAGUGUGUGUGGGGUGAGGGGGUGGGGGUGGUGGCUAAAUGCUAAAUAAGGAAAUACUCAUUCUGAAGAGGGUUGCUACCUUACUGCUCUCUGAGAUCAUUACAAACUGUAUCUAUACCAAUAUGAACAACCAGACCAGUGAGAAAGUAUUUACAUGUGGAUAGUGUCUUGAAGUAUUUAAUGAAUACUAAACAUGAAUACUAAACAUAUAUUCUAUAUCUGAUAUAUCUGAUAUUCAGGCCUAUCUGAUAGUUGCCUCUCUGACACACAGUUAAUAACAGCAUUCCUAAAAGUUCUGUUAUUAACUGUGUGUCAGAGAGGCAACUAUCAGAUAGGCCUGUAGAAUCUCCAUUGAUUUCAUCCUUCUAGGAGCUUCUGGAAGCUCCCAGCCCUGCAGGACACCUACCACACACGAUGCCUCAGGAAAGCUGGCAGGAUCCUAAAGGACUGCUACCACCCAGCUUUCAGACUUUUUACCCCGCUGCCCUCUGGAAGGCGGUACCGUAGCAUCCGGUCUCGCACACGCAGACUGGAGAACAGCUUUUACCCCAGGGCCAUCAGGCUGCUAAAUGGACAUUGAUACUACACCGCCACUUUUGCACUCGUCACUUACAUGCACUGUCACUGUCACUUUCAUAUUACUGUUUGCACUACACUUACAUAUACUGUCACUUCCAACCUACUGCUUGCACUAGCAGUAAUACCUUAUCAGGAAAAUUGCACUACCUGUAACUCCCUCACUGGGUUGUAUGUAGGUUAGUAUAGGUCAAUAGGGUAGCAUAGUUUAUUACAUGUGUAUUAUAUGUUAUAUGUAUAUAUGUUAGUAUUAUAUGUAUAGGCUGCUAUAUGUAUAUUUAGUAUUAUAUGUAUAGGUUGUUAUAUGUUUAGUACACCGUAUUGUAUAUUUAUCUUGUAUAUUUAGUAAGGUUAUUUAUAUGUUUAUUAUGUGUAAAUUAUGUUCAUAGUACUUGUGCAGAGUGUACGUCAUGGUUAUGUUAUGUAUAUUAUGUGUUGUUAUGUUAUGGUAGGUUUGGGCGGCGUCUUGUCGCAAGAAUUUCAGUGCCCAGUCUGAC